GAGUUUGAUCAUGGCUCAGAUUGAACGCUGGCGGCAGGCCUAACACAUGCAAGUCGAACGGUAACAGGAAUCAGCUUGCUGAUUCGCUGACGAGUGGCGGACGGGUGAGUAAUGUCUGGGAAACUGCCUGAUGGAGGGGAUAACUACUGGAAACGGUAGCUAAUACCGCAUAAUGUCGCAAGACCAAAGAGGGGGACCUUCGGGCCUCUUGCCAUCGGAUGUGCCCAGAUGGGAUUAGCUUGUUGGUGGGGUAACGGCUCACCAAGGCGACGAUCCCUAGCUGGUCUGAGAGGAUGACCAGCCACACUGGAACUGAGACACGGUCCAGACUCCUACGGGAGGCAGCAGUGGGGAAUAUUGCACAAUGGGCGCAAGCCUGAUGCAGCCAUGCCGCGUGUAUGAAGAAGGCCUUCGGGUUGUAAAGUACUUUCAGCGGGGAGGAAGGGAGUAAAGUUAAUACCUUUGCUCAUUGACGUUACCCGCAGAAGAAGCACCGGCUAACUCCGUGCCAGCAGCCGCGGUAAUACGGAGGGUGCAAGCGUUAAUCGGAAUUACUGGGCGUAAAGCGCACGCAGGCGGUUUGUUAAGUCAGAUGUGAAAUCCCCGGGCUCAACCUGGGAACUGCAUCUGAUACUGGCAAGCUUGAGUCUCGUAGAGGGGGGUAGAAUUCCAGGUGUAGCGGUGAAAUGCGUAGAGAUCUGGAGGAAUACCGGUGGCGAAGGCGGCCCCCUGGACGAAGACUGACGCUCAGGUGCGAAAGCGUGGGGAGCAAACAGGAUUAGAUACCCUGGUAGUCCACGCCGUAAACGAUGUCGACUUGGAGGUUGUGCCCUUGAGGCGUGGCUUCCGGAGCUAACGCGUUAAGUCGACCGCCUGGGGAGUACGGCCGCAAGGUUAAAACUCAAAUGAAUUGACGGGGGCCCGCACAAGCGGUGGAGCAUGUGGUUUAAUUCGAUGCAACGCGAAGAACCUUACCUGGUCUUGACAUCCACGGAAGUUUUCAGAGAUGAGAAUGUGCCUUCGGGAACCGUGAGACAGGUGCUGCAUGGCUGUCGUCAGCUCGUGUUGUGAAAUGUUGGGUUAAGUCCCGCAACGAGCGCAACCCUUAUCCUUUGUUGCCAGCGGUCCGGCCGGGAACUCAAAGGAGACUGCCAGUGAUAAACUGGAGGAAGGUGGGGACGACGUCAAGUCAUCAUGGCCCUUACGACCAGGGCUACACACGUGCUACAAUGGCGCAUACAAAGAGAAGCGACCUCGCGAGAGCAAGCGGACCUCAUAAAGUGCGUCGUAGUCCGGAUUGGAGUCUGCAACUCGACUCCAUGAAGUCGGAAUCGCUAGUAAUCGUGGAUCAGAAUGCCACGGUGAAUACGUUCCCGGGCCUUGUACACACCGCCCGUCACACCAUGGGAGUGGGUUGCAAAAGAAGUAGGUAGCUUAACCUUCGGGAGGGCGCUUACCACUUUGUGAUUCAUGACUGGGGUGAAGUCGUAACAAGGUAACCUAGGGGAACCUGCGGUUGGAUCACC
rnacentral:rRNA from 1 species